UCCAUGCAGUGGCAACACUGCGGAAGACCUAGUGGCGAACGGGUGAGUAACACGUGAGGAACCUGCCCCGAAGACCGGGAUAACCCUCCGAAAGGAGAGCUAAUACCGGAUACCUCCAUCGAGUCGCAUGGCUUGAUGAAGAAAUGGAUUCCGCUUCGGGAGGGCCUCGCGGCCUAUCAGCUUGUUGGUGGGGUAAUGGCCCACCAAGGCUUCGACGGGUAGCUGGUCUGAGAGGACGAUCAGCCACACCGGAACUGAGACACGGUCCGGACUCCUACGGGAGGCAGCAGUGGGGAAUAUUGGACAAUGGGCGCAAGCCUGAUCCAGCGACGCUGCGUGGGUGAAGAAGGCCUGCGGG
rnacentral:rRNA from 1 species